rnacentral:rRNA from 1 species
CCCUUAGAUGUUCUGGGCCGCACGCGCGCUACACUGAUGCGUUCAACAAGUUUCCUUGGCCGAGAGGCCUGGGCAAUCUUCUUAAUGUGUAUCGUGAUAGGGAUAGAUUAUUGCAAUUAUUAAUCUUGAACGAGGAAUUCCUAGUAAACGCAGAUCAUCAAUCUGCAUUGAUUACGUCCCUGCCCUUUGUACACACCGCCCGUCGCGCCUACCGAUUGGAUGUUCCGGUGAAGCCUCGGGAUGAGGACUGGUGCCUUUAUUGGCAUGAGUUGUUCAGAACUUGUCUAAACCUUAUCAUCUAGAGGAAGGUGAAGUCGUAACA